UACGUAGGUGGCUAGCGUUGUCCGGAUUUACUGGGCGUAAAGAGCGCGCAGGCGGUCGUUCAAGUCGAGUGUGAAAGCCCCCGGCUCAACUGGGGAGGGUCACUCGAUACUGAUCGACUCGAAGGCAGGAGAGGGAAGCGGAAUUCCCGGUGUAGUGGUGAAAUGCGUAGAUAUCGGGAGGAACACCAGUGGCGAAGGCGGCUUUCUGGCCUGCUCUUGACGCUGAGGCGCGAAGGCCAGGGGAGCAAACGGG
rnacentral:rRNA from 1 species